rnacentral:rRNA from 1 species
GACGAACGCUGGCGGCGUGCUUAACACAUGCAAGUCGAACGGAAAGGCCCUGCUUUUGUUGGGUGCUCGAGUGGCGAACGGGUGAGUAACACGUGAGUAACCUGCCCUUGACUUUGGGGUAGCUUCAGGAAACUGGGGCUAAUACCGGAUAGGAGCUCCUGCUGCAUGGUGGGGGUUGGAAAGUUUCGGCGGUUGGGUAUGGACUCGCGGCUCAUCAGCUUGUUGGUGGGGUAGUGGCUUACCAAGGCUUUGGCGGGUAGCCGGCCUGAGAGGGUGACCGGCCACAUUGGGACUGAGAAACGGCCCAGACUCCUACGGGAGGCAGCAGUGGGGAAUAUUGCACAAUGGGCGGAAGCCUGAUGCAGCAACGCCGCGUGCGGGAUGACGGCCUUCGGGUUGUAAACCGCGUUCGCCUGUGACGAAGCGUGAGUGACGGUAAUGGGUAAAGAAGCACCGGCUAACUACGUG